GGGAAGGAGGGGUGCUGAGGUGAGGACCAAGGUGCGAGGUUUGAAGUAGGGAGCAGACGGCGUCUGGAUGAGCCUUUGCCAGAGACUGUUGGAAACCCUGGUCGGCUUCUAAGGCCGCCCCAAAGGAUUUCUCAAAGCAGGCAACCCAGUCGCGGCUUUGCCUGCAGACUUUGCGCUUCCUCUCCGCGCGUGGGGCACCCCACGUGCCGUGCGCUCCGAAGGCGGCCGCGCACCAAGCUCUCCCCACCCCCUGCUCCCUGAGGGAUGCCAUGGGCCAACGGACUCGCCCUAGUCCCCCAUCUUUCCCAGCCUUGGGGUCCUAAGAAGGCGCCUACACCGCUCUCACGAUGCCUCCGGUGGAGUCGGGUAGCAGUCUGGAGAGAAUUUUCUUUCACUGGCAAGACCAGAAUGUCUUAUUGCCUCGAUCUUGCAUUCUCCUUUUCAUGCUAUCUCGAUGUCCACUCCUUCCCUCCCCGUAGCACCCCCGUGCGACUGCGGCACCGGCCUUCAAAUGCAGAGGCAGGGUUAAGGCUUGGUGGAGUGGGGUUCGACUUGGCAGGCAUUAUUUUAAACAGCAGUUUACACAUCCGACACCGGCAACCCAGCCCGUCAAAGGCAAGAAACAGGUGAGUUAUAUAUAAGGGAGACGGCGUUAGAUGCAAAACAAACCCUGGAAAUAAAAAUGAAUAGGGAGGGUGGAGGGGUGAGAUGGGCUCCUGUGACCAUGGAGUACCUGGGGAAGGGUUUUGCUUUCCCCCUCCACUUUCCUAAUUUUGUAGGACUGCCCCGUGCCCGCUAGAGGUCACCAUAAGGAGUCAUUUGCUCUGCUUCUCGGAUAGAUGUUAGUGAAAACAGCCGCCUGCAAAUUUGAGUUCUCUUUCUGACAAAGUCACCCUGGGUGGUUCUUAGAGAAUGAAAAUCUCCAUAAGCUGUUUAUCCCUAGACUUGGAUCAUUUUUUUUUAAGCACUUAAUGUGAUUAAAAGCUCAAAAACAAGAGUUAUUUAUCUGCUAAGUAGCUACUAAGCAAGGAAAACAUCCUGAAGGAAGUGAAUUCAAUACGGAAUGGAAGGAGGUGCUGGCAGAAGGAGCCAGGGACUCCGGGGGAGCAAAUGCCAGAUGUGAAAGAUUAGCGACUGUAAAGAAAGCUAAUGCAUUUGUCUGGCUGGAACAACGGGAGUUCUAAGACCUGUGUCCAUGCCGGGCUAUCUGCAAUGGGAUCCCUGAAGCUUUAAUAACAGAAGUGGCUAGAUGAAAGCCUUAGUUUAGGAAGACGCUCUGCCCCGUGGGUUAUUCUAAGGAAAAGGCUCUUUCAGCAAGCCAGGAAUAGAAGCCCUAACCUCGUGUCAGUAAAAAUGAAAGCCAGUUAUGAGAAACCCAGCCCAGUAUCUAGCAGGUCUUAGUAAUGGAUAGGACACAGUGACCAGAGGAAUAAAUAAAUAAAUAAAUAAAUAAAUAAAUAAAAGCAGGUGAGAACCAGCUACCAGCCUGGCUUCACACCAGCAAGAGCCAAUUCACCAGCAAGUUGUUAAAAAUAUUCUAAAAGCAACAAGCAACAGAACAGCCAUUGUGUUGGUGAUUUGAACAUUACUAUAUUUAUUUCCUGUGUUCUCUAU
rnacentral:lncRNA from 1 species